UAACAAUCCACGGUGCAGGGCCCACACUUCUAUUGGCCUCUUUGCAUCAUCAAUCCCAGAUAUUGUGAGAUUGCUGACUGUGGAUUUGGUUAAAAGGCUGAAUAACAGCAAAACAAAAAGUUGAGGAACACGAGACAACACACCGGCCUUGUAGAAAGUCAAAGCACGUUUUGCAGCCACAUAGUGCACUAAGAGUUUGUAAAGCAAAUGUGUCGCGUUGUCUUUGUUAACCUGGGGACAUUAGAUCACCAAGCAGAGCCCUUUGGUGCUGUAAUCGGUGACGUUUUUGCACAAUGAAGCACUCAGACAUUGUCUGUCUGUGUAUCUGUCUGUGUAUCUGUCUGUCUGACACGAGCUUGAGAGAUACAUGAAGACAAUGCCAGAAUCAACUAUGACAAUCAUUUAAUUUACUGCACCUAUGGACUGACAGGACUGUAAACAAACCUUGCAGCAUUCAAUUGUGGAGCCUUCCUACAUGCGUCAGGCACAGGUAUCGAGUCUCUUCUCAGGAGCCCCCAUGGGAGACGUUGAGGUUUUGAUAUAAAGUCUGCCCACUGUCACCACUCUCUUUAAAAAGCUCUGUUAUUAUCAACUUAUCCCUUUUUACCUCGAAGGGAAUCCACAUAACGUUUUGUUGUCUGUCUCUUGUGCGCACUCUGCGUGUUGAACACAACGUGUGCGCGUCCACUGGAGCUCACACCAGUGGAACAUCUGUGCUUUAGAUUUCCACAUCAUCACGCUCACCAGCACACCCCACGUCCACAAAGGUAACCUUGCAUAUAUAGGCCAGUAUUUAACUUGGAUCCACUAGUAUGCCUAAUGUAUCCAUCACGGUUUGGCUGUGCUUGUGCAACUUACUCAUUUCUUUGCAGGGCCAGUGAUGCAUAGCCUGUGUGUAAAACGUUGUGGGUUGUCGAAGUUAUCAAGUGGGAUUUGCGGCGCUCUCUGCAGGAACCUCCGGCUGCUAGAGUUCAAAGCCACAUGCACAGACGUGCCAUGCGAACCAUUAAAAUAUCUUCUUGGCUACUAGGCUAGUUUCUACAAGGCUUUUUCCAAGUCAGUCUUGGGAGACCAAGGGAAGAGGGCAAGUUUUGUUGUUCUCAACUUAACAAGUAGCUACACCUUCAACCUGAUCCGGCGUUUUAGGUAGCCCACUUCUCUGCUAUGCAAAAUUUGGAGGGAUCUUUCAACAGGUGGAAAACGGCCGUGGGUGCCAUGAAUGGUGACUGGGACACACUGUAAAGGGACAAGAGGGACUUUGGAUUCAACUGGCUCCCUGUGCAAAGAAAUGCAGUGAAGAGCAGCACAGACCAGGAAGGAAGGACUGGGGCAUCUGUGUUUGGGUUGGCUAUGUCUAAAUCAGCACUCCUUGUCCUGUCGCACAGGUGGAGGUUCAAACGGGUCCCAGACCAGAGGCACCUCGGGAGGGAUCGGAUGGCUGCUGCCUUCAGGCCUGGCCAAAGUUUGACCCGCACUAAAAAACAGGCCUGUUCCAGACCAUUGCUGCUCUCCCCCUGCUAAAACAACACCAGGGAAAGUGUG